rnacentral:rRNA from 1 species
CAGUCGCCACGGUAAUACGGAGGGUGCGAGCGUUAAUCGGAAUUACUGGGCGUAAAGCGUACGCAGGCGGUUUGUUAAGUCAGAUGUGAAAUCCCCGAGCUUAACUCGGGAACUGCAUUUGAAACUGGCAGGCUAGAGUCUCGUAGAGGGGGGUAGAAUUCCAGGUGUAGCGGUGAAAUGCGUAGAGAUCUGGAGGAAUACCGGUGGCGAAGGCGGCCCCCUGGACGAAGACUGACGCUCAGGUACGAAAGCGUGGGGAGCAAACAGGAUUAGAUACCCGCGUAGUCCCUGUCUCUUAUAA